rnacentral:lncRNA from 1 species
GGAGAACUUAAAUAUAGAAAUAAUGACUACAUUUGUAAAUAGUACGUGAUGUUUGGUAACGUACAUUUUUACUAACAGUAAUAUAUAGAGCGUUCGUAUCAUUAGAUGAUAUUUUCGGAAAAUAGUUGUGCUUUCUGUCAAUUGUUCAAAAAAGACAUUUUUCUUUUUCUAGAAAACCGAAUCAGAACAGCCAACAUCGUCUAUGACCAUUCUAAGCUUGUCGGAGGGAUUGUAACCAUUUAUCGAAUAACACAAUUAGAUAAUCAGAAACUACUUUUUCCUGUUUUAGUUUGUUUGGAUUUUUUUAGCUUUUUUUAUUCUAUUUUAAUGUGUAAAAU